UACGUAGGGCGCAAGCGUUGUCCGGAAUUAUUGGGCGUAAAGAGCUCGUAGGCGGCUUGUCGCGUCGUUCGUGAAAACCUGCAGCUCAACUGCAGGCUUGCGGUCGAUACGGGCAGACUAGAGUGCGGUAGGGGAGACUGGAAUUCCUGGUGUAGCGGUGAAAUGCGCAGAUAUCAGGAGGAACGCCGGAGGCGAAAGCGAGUGACUGGCGCGUUCCUGACGCUGAGGUGCGAAAGCUAGGGGAGCAAACAGG
rnacentral:rRNA from 1 species